GGCGCGGGACCGUGGGUGGCGGGGGCAGGCCCGGGUGGCCCUGGGGCCCCGGGAGGGUCGCACAACGCGGACAUCCCGGAGCCCUACCCGGAGCCUGAGGCGGGAGCGGCGAAGCACAAGCGACGCAUGCGCGCUGACUGGAAACGCGACAGAAACCAGCGACCCCGCCUCUCAGAAAAAUCAGUCCGGCCAAGUCCGAAGCCCUGGUACUUUGGUUCCGUGUCGCAUCGGUCGCAGCAGUUCAUGUAGAUAACCAUUGGAAGGGUGGAAGCGUCGACAAUCUUCCUUAGUAGAAUUGAAACCAAAAACCCCUGUGAACAACAGUAUUAUGAGAGGCUGGUGGUUUGGGAACUACCAUAACAGUCAACUAGUUCCUGCUUAAACGUGAGAGAAAAGAGAGCAAGAAAAUCGGAAAAGUCUGAGCUGCUCUGAAGCUUGGUAGGAAGGAAGUAGGAAUGACCACUCGGAGGGAGCUAGUACCGUACUCACGCCCGCUUCUUGAGAUGGUGCCUCGUAGUCAGCCCUUCGUCUAUAACGGCCCCGACCACCUGGCGCUUCCGUCGCCGAUCCCUGCUCAGCACCCUCCGGCGCUUGAACAACUUCUUCUUCAGCUCCUGAAGGAGAAAAAGACACGCAUCAGAGUAAGGUUAUGCACGCCCACUCGGGAUGCCCGCACCCGGCUACCCCAGACACCACUGAUCCUGUCCCGGGAGUGGAAAACGCUCCGGGCAGCCUGGGGAAGCAAAAGCGCAGCUCCCAGAGUUACCGUUCGUGGACGAUUGAUCUUUCCUCCCGGAGGCCCCAUAGCUGAACUCGGAGGUUCACACGUGGGACCGCACUUCCGCUCUGAUCGCAGGUUUGGCCAAGAGCAAAAGGCUCCGCCCCCGGCACCCGCGGACCAAUCGCUGCUCGGGGUUAGGCUCCAGGCCUAUAUAAACGAGUUACGCGCUUGUACGGGUCUUUCGAAGGAUCGUGUUCGCGUAAGUCUCUUUAAAUUGUGGGUAUUUGGGUGCUGCUGGGGUCUAGGCCUGACCUUGUAGACCCUCCUUUUCUUGGCGGGGAUCGGGCGUACCAUCCUGCUCCCCGUUAUGUACGGAGGCAGAAUGAAAGGGCUCCGGCCCUCUCGGCGUUAUGUCUUCGGUGCCUGCGGCCUCCCGUUCGCCGGUUCUAUCCUCAGACGCCGGGACACCACUCCCUCCCUACGCAGAAAUGUAGCCAGACCCAGCAGUCCCCUCUAUGCGAUAGUCACGCUCUUUUAUUUUGAUUUCAGGUCUGUGGAUGACGCCCCGGGAGUGAUAGUUAAUGCUUUCCUUCGCGGUUUAUUGUUGAACCAAUAAAGUCAGUGAACGCUAA